rnacentral:tRNA from 3 species
GCGCCCGUAGCUCAGUUGGAUAGAGCAACGGAUUUCUAAUCCGUAGGUCGCAGGUUCGAGUCCUGCCGGGCGUG